GACGAACCGUGCGAACGUUGUUCGGAUUCACUGGGCUUAAAGGGCGCGUAGGCGGCGCGGUAAGUCACUUGUGAAAUCUCUGAGCUUAACUCAGAACGGCCAAGUGAUACUGCAGUGCUAGAGUGUGGAAGGGGCAAUCGGAAUUCUUGGUGUAGCGGUGAAAUGCGUAGAUAUCAAGAGGAACACCUGAGGUGAAGACGGGUUGCUGGGCCAACACUGACGCUGAUGCGCGAAAGCCAGGGGAGCAAACGGG
rnacentral:rRNA from 1 species